rnacentral:rRNA from 1 species
UACAGAGGGGGCAAGCGUUGUUCGGAAUUACUGGGCGUAAAGGGCGCGUAGGCGGCCUGUUAAGUCAGACGUGAAAUCCCUCGGCUCAACCGGGGAACUGCGUCUGAUACUGGCGGGCUUGAAUCCGGGAGAGGGAUGUGGAAUUCCAGGUGUAGCGGUGAAAUGCGUAGAUAUCUGGAGGAAUACCGGUGGCGAAGGCGGCAUCCUGGACCGGCAUUGACGCUGAGGAGCGAAAGCCAGGGGAGCAAACGGG